ACUCUUUUGCUUCUGUUGGUCAAUAAGUUCCAGACACUGACAGCAGCUAGUGUCAUCGUUUGACAGAAAAUUGCACAUCUUUCCUCUCAUUUUCAUGCGCGAAGACCUGACGUACAUCGUCAAUGACUCUUAGCAAAUUGUGAUAAUUUUCUGUGCAUGAUUGCGGAUUGCAUAGGUCUAUUAACAAGUUUGACAGAAUUCGGGGACCAGCAUAUUGAUUUUGGAGGAGAACGAUGAAGCUAGCAGGUGCGCUCCUGGUCAUGGGGAUUUUGGUGGUGCUGACGGGGGCUAACGAUGGUUCCACUACUACCCUGGAGGAUGCGGGGGAGGAGUCGAGCACAGCGGCGGGGGACACAGGAACCACUCCUACACCCGAACCGGAAACGACAACCACGGACAAUUCUGCAGGGAAAAUGUUUCCAUUAAGCGUCGCUUUCAUUCUGAUCUUACCGUUCGUCCUCGCUUUGGGGGGACUUUAGAUACAAUUAUUCUGGAUUACACAACCAGACGUGGCAUAGCAAAGCUCAAAGGAUGCGCAGAUCAAAAUCAAAUCAAUUCGCCGGCUUAAUGACACAUUGUAUUAUGUAUUAAUAUUGUGGUUUUUAACUUGAACUUGCAUUCAUUUUGUAUACUCAGUACUCUUAGAACUUUUGAUAUAAAUAAACAUCUUCAACAAUUUC
rnacentral:sRNA from 1 species